GGGAUCAGUGCACAGAAAACAGAAAACAGAAAGCAGAAAACAGAUGGAGCAGCUUGGCAGCCGAUGGUCGGGUGCAAUGAAUCACACCUCAUCGAGGGAAUACACUUUUUAGGAUCGGUAGUAGUGGCCACAACAAAAGGAAGAUCACACAGACUACUAUACAUAUACAUACACACAUACAUGUAUAUCUCAUCUCAACUGAGCAGCGUGGGAAUAAAGAAGCAGCACAAAUAUUCACAUAUAUAAACUCGUGUGCGGGAAUGAGAAAGAGAGAAACGAUAAAGUAAAAUUAAAAAAGAAGUAGAAUCGGAGAAAACAGACAAGGAAAGCACUAUUUCAAGGAAGAAAGGAGACAUUCAGGAAGAGGAAUAUAAGAUUUAUACAGGGCAGGAACAAAAUCACGAUGGAAGAAGAUUACCUCGAAAUUAAAGUAAUCUUUGAGUAAUUAUCCUUUUGUAUAUACAAAAAAUAAAAUAAGAAAACAAGUUGCCUUAUAUGGGAGCUAAUUUUUAGGUAAAAUCUGUCUAGAACAGAAUAGUUUUAGAAAAACUUGUAUAUUUUUUAUAAUGUCGAAUGCUUAUAAAUCUCAAAUCUUCUAAUGUUGCGAA